UAUACAGUGAAGGUGAAGCACUGUCCACGUGUUGAAGAACACCCACAACAUCCUUUGAUAGCCUGUAUAUGAGACAGCGCUAGUAUAACUCUUAUCUGUUAAAGUAAUUUAUUUCAUUCUUUUUACAAUUUUUUUUGUAUCGUAGUUCUCAGUAGUGUGUAAUGUAUCCGAUUUCAUAGAGGUCACAGCCUUUUAACACGUGUUUAAACUGUAUUAUAUAUUAAUAGGUUGGUGCAUUUUUGGUGCAUAUUUUGUUGGCAAUAUAGGUCAGGUAAACAAGUAGAAUUUAUUAGAUCAAAUUAUUUGUGCAUAGUUGGUGCAUUCUUGGUGACAAAUAUUUAUACAAGGACUCUGUUUUAGAGAUGAAUGAAUUGAAGGCGAGAAGGAAUAUUAAAUACAAUAUGAAACGUUCGAAAGGAUUAUGUUUGUCUAUGCAGAUUUUGGCAGAUAUUGGGAGGACUAUAGUUGUGCUACAUUAUUAUUC
rnacentral:lncRNA from 1 species